rnacentral:misc_RNA from 1 species
CCGAGAGAGGGCGCCUCGCGCGCCCGACCUCCCAACCCAUUGUAUGACCAAACCAUGUUGCCUCGGGGGCCGACCCGGUCGCCCCCGGUGGACCAACCAUCAAAACUCUGCAUCUUUGCGUCGGAGUCACAAGUUUAAAUCGUUUUA